UACAGGGGGUGCAAACGUUGCUCGGAAUCAUUGGGCGUAAAGCGCACGCAGGCGGUUUGUUAAGUCAGAUGUGAAAUCCCCGAGCUUAACUUGGGAACUGCAUUUGAAACUGGCAAGCUAGAGUCUUGUAGAGGGGGGUAGAAUUCCAGGUGUAGCGGUGAAAUGCGUAGAGAUCUGGAGGAAUACCGGUGGCGAAGGCGGCCCCCUGGACAAAGACUGACGCUCAGGUGCGAAAGCGUGGGGAGCAAACAGG
rnacentral:rRNA from 1 species